rnacentral:rRNA from 1 species
UACGAAGGGAGCUAGCGUUGUUCGGAAUCACUGGGCGUAAAGGGCCCGUAGGCGGUUGGGUAAGUAGGGGGGGAAAUCCCGGAGCUCAACUUCGGAACUGCCUCUGAUGCAGCACGUCUUGAGUCCGGAAGAGGUGGGUGGAAUUCCUAGUGUAGAGGUGAAAUUCGUAGAUAUUAGGAAGAACACCGGUGGCGAAGGCGGCCCACUGGUCCGGUACUGACGCUGAGGUGCGAAAGCGUGGGGAGCAAACAGG